rnacentral:lncRNA from 1 species
UGCCGCUGACCACUUCUCAGAUUUCUAUUAACCCGAGGACCAGAACAAGCAGGUUGAUGUGCAAGUAUAUAGUUUCUAUUGGAAGAGUUAGCUUCAGACAACGUACGAUCUAUGCAAAAUCCAUCAUCUCAUGCUUGCAUAACAAGACCGAUGGUAAUUUGUUUACUACUCUACUUACUGCAGUUUACAAAUUCUUUUAUGGCUUCAGUUCCCACGCCGCUGCGCGUGCAGGUCUCUGCUUGCUCAGUCCUCUUGCCGCGACACCAUCACCAAGUCACUCAGAGCCCACCACCGCCACAAACACCCCAUGCCAUCACGCGUGACAGUCGCAGCAUCACAACUUCACGGUAAAUCAUUAAAAUUUCAAAACACCAGUCAAUUCAUGUUCAAGUCGAGAACUAAUAAUGUAGACGACCUUCACGUCGAAAAUGCUGUCUAAAUAAGCACAAUACAAAUUAUUUUGGCCUGGUAUACCACUAAAACAUUUUUGAAAUUAUUUGAAAAGUAUAAGAUAUUCAUUGUUAUUUCUCCAUUAAGAUAUCCCCCUUUGUUAGUACUGCCCUAUUCCUUUUCCUUUUUUCAGGAAAGUGGAAGGAGUGAUGAAGAACUAAAACAUAGUUACAGUGGGCGUUUUUUAUAGGAACAAAACUGAAGAAUUUGACAUUAAUAUAAUUUUAGUAUUAAUUCAAGUGUCCCUGGUUUUGCUAGCAUCAGAUCAUGUUGACCUAAUUGUCCAUGGUUACACUCAUCUUCAAACGGCACAACUUGUUUUGCUGCACAUCUUCUCUUACCCUAUGACGAACAGGUAUUCUAUGUUUCAUCCCUCUCUUAUUUCACACUGCAUUAACAAUGUUUUCUCAGUACGUGGAUUUGCCUAACUUUGACUUAUUGAUUAUUCAUUUUGUUACUGAUGUGUACACAAACCCUGCCUAAUUAAUUUAGUCUACUAUAUCUAACCAUAUGAAAUCUCAAAGUUGAUUCAGACUACUUGCCUGAUGGUGUGGUACAUUACCUCUGGGUUUUUUUUAACUACGAGAGCAGAACGACGGCGCCGACGUGGAUGACUCGGAGCUCAACCUUGCAAAGGGCCGCGAGCAGCGGCGACUUUCUUUUCCACGAGAAGAUGACCAAGGGCGCCAUCGGCCAUUUUGUCGUCGUCGUCGAAGAGUCCAAGCUCGUCCCCGCAUCGGUUGCAUUGGUGCCGAUCAGGUGCUAAUCUGAAUCCUUAUCCAAUUUCAUGUGGACUAUAAAAAAACCAGGGUUGAAUGCACAUUACCAUCACACUGCCAUUUAGUUUUUGUUGGUACGCAAUAAUAUUGCUACAAUUCUAUUUAUAGAUUUUUUGCCCAUUUUGUCUUUGUCUUUGUCCAUGGUCAGAUCAUGGUUUUUAGGCUUGAUUGUUAUGAGUCAGUAAGGUGAGAAUGAGCGGUAAUGGUUUAACUAAUCAUGCCAUCAUGUUUUUAGUAUCACUAAUUUAUCUAUGCUAAUUCUUUCAACAUUAUUGUCAUUGUUGAUGAUUCUAAAAGGUAAAGAGAAAUGUUAGAAUGCACCUUCUUCUAUGGCAUGCGGCCCCGACGGCACCGCAGAUGUCUAUGCGGUCUUCGUCCUUAACCACUGUCUAGCGCCACUACCCUGCAGCUUCUGUGACCUCUGUUGGCCUCCUCAUGGCUCCUUCACCCUCCAGCUUCCCACGUGCUUCUCUGUUGCACAAAAACUUUCCUGCCCAGGUGGUUGCCGGUUUUCUGGAUUGGUUUUGCUACUAUUGAAGAAGUAGAACCAGUUCCACCCAAAUCGAUUGUUUAUUUGUGUAAUGCAAUCUCUAUUAUGCUCAGAGUCUGAUUGGCAUUUUCCAAAUCAAUGCACGGGGACCUUCAAUUUGAUUCAGUUUUAUCUUCUACUGCAGAUAGGGAAACAUGGACAUUGGAUAUCCAUUUCUUAGGUGUCAAUCUGGUGCUUAGGCUGUAUUAUAGUACAGGGCAGAGUUCUUCCAUCUACUAAUUUAGGUAAUCUGAUUUAUAGGUUAGGCACGCACUUUGCUUUAAGCAUAGUUACCUAUUCGAUGGUGACCAACCCUCUCUCAGAAGCGCCGUACAAACAAUUCAGGCGCUUGCUUAAAAUUUACUCCCUCCGUCCCAAAAUAAGUGUCUCAAUUUUGUACUAGCUCUAGUACAAAUUUGUACUAAACUCAAGACACUUAUUUUGGGACGGAGGGAGUAUUACUUUAGAGACAUGGGGAUCCUGAGGUUGACACACUUGAUUCUUGCUGCUGCUUAUGCAUCCCUGAACUUUUGUUAAAUGUAUGAUUAUCUGGAUAUUCCCAAUACGUUAUCAAGUGUAGGGUUCAGAAAAUAAGGACAGCCAUUUGUUCCACCUUUUGUAGUUCAUCAAGCAUAUGAUGUUAAGAAAAUGACAACUUGCCAGGUUACAGUUCUGAAAUAUUUUCGUUUGUAGCAUAUGUACCAGCAAGAUGGUGAACUAGAUUCAAAUUUGAUACUCCUCUUUUCCGUGAAAUAUUUCCUCUGCAUUUUUAUUUGUCAUUUAUAUGUUUGGAUGCUCGUGUUGCAAGGUUCAGCCACUGCUUCAACAUUGUAGGAAUUUCUUGUGGUCUCGAAUGGAUGAACAAAGAGCGCUAGCUUCGUAAUGCCUCUGAGACGAUAUGUCGGAGAUGGUAUUGAUUUAUUUUUUAAGGUAAGCAAGCGACUUAUUUGGAGUAAUCUCAGGGAUAUGUCUUUGUUAUCAGUUGCAAGUUACUGUGCAGAUUGAUAAUGGUAAAAAUAUUGUUGGAUAAAUCUAAUUCCAUUGAAUUAACAGAUUUUUUCCGUUGUGGGCAUUCGAAUAUUUAGAGUAAUAUGCAUGCACAAUUGUCUUAAAUCUACACGUAACCAGUCAAUCAUUACUUUGUACUAUAUGCUAUGAAAAUAUUAUGUGAGCAAACUUAAGUAGUAACCUUAUAUGGCUAUGCACUGAAAAUGGUCUUAGGUACGUCCAGUUUCAAUACAUUCACAUAUUGAGGCCACUGUAAAUGCUUCUACUAUUGCAGGUUCAACUUGAAUCUUCACUUCCGUAGGCAUGUAACUGAUUCGCUUCUUGAUGAGUUUAUAGCUCGCUGAUUCAAUCCAUAUAGCUUGCGAGGUGCUGGUAUAGUCUUAUACGACAUUUGAUCUACAUUUUAUUAAAUGUCUUUCCCUUAAAGAAAUAUAGUGCGAAGAAAUUAAAUUUUAGAAACAACUGCUGGUUACUGUUGUUUGUGAAUUCUAUUUAAUCCUUCACAAUUUUUAAAUAGUUUAUCUUGUGCUUCCUUAACUAUUUGUCUGCAUAUAUAUACAAUUCUUUUGAAAUUUAUUGUUAAUAAUUUCUUGAAUACAACAAUACACUAAAAGGCAUGUGGUAAUGCAUGGGCAUCUAACAUGCUAAAAAACACGUUGACCUUGGAGAUGACCUUAAUUAUUUAUUUGAUUCAUUUAUAUGCAUUGUAGCCCGUAGCAACGCACACGCGCUCUACUAGGAUAUUUUUAAUGCCAUCGGCACCCUCGCCAUGCCAUAUUUUUGAUGACUACAUGUCAUAUUUUUAACUAACCUUUGACCUUCCCCAUCGGCACCCCCGCCAUGCCAUCUCAACGUCAACGGCCCGAUGACGCCGACCCCUUAUCAACGUGGCCAUAUUGUCCGGGCGGGCAAGUCAACGUUAGGUGGCCGGAUCCCAAGAUGGAGGUAUGUGUGCUUGCUUGUUGAUGUGUUUUUGUUCGAUGUGCUUGCUGCCAUGGUCGAUUUCUAUCUGUGUUGACAUCAGCUUUCUCCUGACGGCAUAGUCACGUGCUCGACCAUAGCGACAACUACCAGGAAGGCAGUGGCCUCACCGAGGAAGACAUACGUGCUCACGCAGGGCGGCCUCCUACCGAUCCACGACUUUCUUCCGGGUGGCGGCGCACACAAGGUCAUCCACAUCGGCUUCAACAAGACGCGAGUAUCCACACGGAGGACGGCUUGCUUGCUGAGGGCGUUGUCCACCCGGACGACGGUGUGCUGUUGACCACGCAAAGGGCCGCAUCCACCUGGACGACGGUGUGCUGGCGGAGUAUGGCGUCCGCCCGAACGAUGACAGAUAACGUGGCGAACGAUGACGGCCACCAGGUACUCCCCGGCGAUGGCGGCAGCAUCAUCAUGGACGACAGCAUGCUUAUGGCCAGUGACGUGCUUGCAGAAGGCGUUAUGAGAGAGGCAACCAGCAGGACGGUGACGACCACGUGCACGCACUCAAACACAGCAGCAGCAAGCACAGGACGAUGGCGACCAGGUGCGCAUGCAAGCAUCUCCUAGGAACUGGGGCUGAACGACGAGGCUAGCAUCUCAUACGAGCUCACGCUCAAGCACAAGAUUGUCUGGGCUGGGUGUCUCAUCUGGCCUUGCUGAUAUGUGUCCUUUUCUCCUCUCAUGAGAUCAUCAGGUGCCAAUUAUGCUGGAGUUGUAUACCUUGUAGGUAGAUAAUACACUGCAAGGCCUGGCCAAUAAGCAUUUCCUAUUUGGCGAUGAAUGUUACAAUAGUAGGAUCUGCAUCUAGGCACCCUUAAAUGAACUGUAACUUACAGAGCAAGCAAAUCAUAUACAUUGUUUGUGGGCCCAAUCUCAUUCAUAUAUAUAAUCAUUAUACUUCCAUUAUAAAUUUGUUUGAAAGCAAUUUGGUCAUCUCUAACGUUUUUCCAUCACUGCUUGAGAAAGUAGCUCUUUUCGGUUGUAGCGCUCAAAUAUGUCAAUGCAUAUCUCUGUCAGCUGAAUGAGUAUCUUGGAAUUCUUAGUUCAUAAUAAUUUUCUGUUCAGUAUCCAGCUGUGACAACAGUAGCUUCUUGCAUCUACGCGAAUGCGAUGGUUAAAUAUACUGCAACUUAUAUUUGAGCAAAUCAUAUAAACUUAAAACACUUUGCCUGACAUUCAUAACCUAUAUACUUCCUCCUGCCCAAAUGGGUCAACAAGGAACAAAGGGGUCGACACAUGGAGAAGUGGGAGCAUAAAAUUCAAAAGGUACUGAACAUGUGUAUGGAUUACACCGGUGAGUGAAUGGUGUGGCACAUUGAGUCAGAGAGUAGUUGCUAGACUGGUAUGAAAAACAGUUGUUUCUCGAUUAGAUUAAGUCUAAACUUAUCUUCAACAUGUGUGCUCUUUUAUCACCAUUUUAGAAGAGGUUCAAUGCAGAAUCCUUAGAUUGCCAAUUUUUACUUCAUUGGAAGCACUUUAUCGAUACGUUUGGAAUAAUUCUCAGAUUCCAUGAAACAUGUUCGUGACACCAAUUUUAACUAAAGAAUAAAGCAAUCUCAAUUUUGUUCUGUAACAAAUUAAAAUAUUAUCCUUUCCUAUGAGAAAAGAAAACAUAUACUACAUUGAAGCGAUUGCCAAUUGAAGGAAGCAUUUUCUAUGGUCAGUCCAAACAAAAAAAAAUUAACCAUAUGGAAACAAUAUUUAGUUGCCAUAGAUGUAAUUUGACCCGAAACAGUUUUCUUACCAUCCAAAAAAAGGAAGUGAAAAAACCUUCCAAAAGCAAGGAGUAUCAACAUUUGAAACAAAAUAUAUUUUCGUACAGAAGUAAUUUACAUCUAUGGAAGCAAUUUUUUGUUCAUCACUAACCUGAAUCAAUAUGUGUUAUGUUCUCUUUCAGAGAAGUGAACUAUGAAAUCCCUCCUCAUUCCAAACAAUGAAAUUAUGAGGCUGAAAGUACAAAUUUCAUACGACAUGGCUGACUUAGAGAAAAAAAUGGGCGUAUUUGGAGCCGGAUGGAAACAUGGGCAGAUUUGGAGCAGUGUGAAGACGGCGCAUGCUGGUGUUGCAAUGACCAAAAGCGCCGAAGUGAAAGAAGAGAUGGAAUGACAAUGACGCAACCUUGUAGCGUGAUUCUUGUAUGUAUA